rnacentral:rRNA from 1 species
GACGUAGGGCGCGAGCGUUUGUCCGGAUUUAUUGGGCGUAAAGAGCUCGUAGGCGGCUUGUCGCGUCGACUGUGAAAUCCCGCGGCUCAACCGCGGGUCUGCAGUCGAUACGGGCAGGCUAGAGUUCGGUAGGGGAGUCUGGAAUUCUCGGUGUAGCAGUGAAAUGCGUGGAUAUCGAGAAGAACACUAAGGGCGAAGGCAAGACUCUAGACAAGUGUUGACGCUCAUGCACGAAGGCUAGGGUAGCGAACGGG